CGGCAAAAAAUGCAAAAUAGCCCUUUAACCGUACAUUAUACAGAUACGCGCUCUUUGACUUUUUCGUAGAUCUAAUUGAGAUACACAUGAUUGUCAAUUUUUGUGUCAAUAUGACAAAGCGUUCAGGUGUGACACUCAGCAAUGUGUAUUUUCAUUUAAGGGGACAAGAAAAAAAUUGACUUUUUUCUCCUACCAUGGGGGGGCGCUCUUUUGGGGAGUAAAAAUUCCUUCACAAAUGUGUUGAUGGCUGGACAUUGCAUCAUCCUAGAAAACUUGGAGGCCAGUGAGGACAAAAAUAAAAAGUUAUAAAACAUUUAAGAAUGUGGAUUUUUGGGUUAUUUUUGGCGCCCCCUAGAACCUAAACCAUGGGGUGCAGCAUCAUGAUUUGAAUAACUUUUAAUGGCCAUGGGGUGUAGAUUGGCCUGAGCAAAUGUGGUGCCGGUGGAACGAAAGCCUUCGGAGGAGUUAGCGAAAUUCCAAUGUGUGCGUAUCGGCAAAAAAUGCGGAAUAACCCUUUAACUGUACAUUUGACAGAUACGCGCGCACGGACUUUUUUGUAGAUCUUCUUGAGAUACAUGUGUGUGUCAAUUUUUGUGUCAUUUUGACAAAGCGUAUAGGCGUGACACUCAACAAUGUGUAUUUUCACCUUAGGGGACAAGAAAAAAUGGACUUUUUUCUCCUGCCAUGGGGGGCGCUCUUUUGGGGAGUAAAAAUUCCUUCACAAAUGUGUUGAUGGCUGGACAUUGCAUCAUCCUAGAAAACUUGGAGGCCAGUGAGGACAAAAAUAAAAAGUUAUAAGACUUUUAAAUAUGUGGAUUUUAGUGUUAUCUUUGGCGCCCCCUAGAACCUAAACCUUGGGGUGCAGCGUCAUGAUUUUGAUAACUUUUAAUGGCCACGGGGUGUAGAUUGGCCUGAGCAAAUGUGGUGCCGGUGGAACGAAAGCCUUCGGAGGAGUUAGCGAAAUUCCAAUGUGUGCGGAUCGGCAAAAAAUGCGAAAUAACCCUUUAACCGUAAUUUUGACAGAUACGGCCGCACUGACUUUUUUGUAGAUCUUAUUGAGAUACAUAUGUGUGUCAAUUUUUGUGUCAAUAUGACAAAGCGUACAGGCGUGACAGUCAAUAGUGUGAAUUUCCACCUUAGGGGGCGCUAUGGAGCCAUUUUGCAUUUUAUUGUUUGGGCGACUUCAGAAUAUCGAAUUUUUCACCAGGCCCGGUCGUCCUGCCAAAUUUCAUGAGUUUUCGCCAGUGGGAAGUGGGCCAUUUUCCAGUUCAAAGGGGAGGAAAAAGAAGAAAGAAAGAAAGAAAGAAAGAAAGAAAGAAACAAAGAAAAACCACUUGGGGAAUAAUAGGGCCUACGCCCGGCUGCUCUGCAGCUGGCUCGGGCCCUAACUAGGACCCCGUUGGGGCACUGGCGGGCCCGAGCUGUGUCGCGUCCCCCCCCCCAACGCGCUGCCUCCCCGUCCCAUUUGUGUCCUCUGGCCAUCGCCCUCUCUGGUAACGCCCAUCACUGCAAAGACCCUUUUCCUUCAUCGGCGUUUGCUGUUCUUCCUGCCAGUGCGUGUUGCUUUCACUUACACUUGCCACAGCCAGCCUCGUGAGUGCCUAGCCUAUUCGAUAUCACUGUCACCUACACAGGACAGUCAUUACCUUUCUAUUAAUACUUUGUGUUUUAAUUUCACAUUAAUUUCCAUAUUUUAUAAACGACUGGAAAAAACUUGAGCCCCUGCCCCUGUAUAAUCAUGUGCAUGUCUCUGUUCUAGCUCCAAGGUGAAUCUUCACUGCUCAUGUUCUCCUCAGAAGCACUCACCUCACUCCCCUCAGGUUACUGUACACAUGCACCAACUGCCUGCUUCAGGUUUGGAUGGAGCUUCAUGGUUGUCUUUUGGAGAAAUGACCAGUCAAGUUGUGUUUGAAAUUUGAUUUUUUUCAGGGGCAAAAGGAGCCUCUGCAUUCUUGUCAAAUAUGUAAAUAGCAUGUUUUUGCAGGUGCUAAAAACCAGACUCUGAGUGUGUGUGUGUGUGUGUGUGUGUGUGUGUGUGUGUGUGUGUGUGUGUGUGUCUGUGUGUGCGUUCAAGUCACAUGACAUAUUUAACCGGAUGUAGCUGCAAGACGGAGCCUCGUUGACUCUCCGUUUCAACUUAUCUCAAAAGUGAGGACCUCAACCUAUAUACCAGUUUUUAAAUUGUGUUGAUAGGCCAAAUAAAACCAGAGUUAUGAUAAAUUAUGUCCGCGAUACUUUUUUUCUGCUUAUUUUGAUCACGUUCGGCGCUCAAUCGCGCUGUAUGAGACAGGAAAACAUAGCAUGCAGACAUUAGCGACAGGUCUUACAGGCGGAAAAGGCUUGCCAAAAAAAAAAAACACACCACAACAUCUCUCCUAUUGGUGGAAAACUUCACCACAACAACCAAUCCAAAAUUAUAUGGUGACUGAUUGACAAGGGGCGGGCGCUUACGUUCUUCCUGCAACAUGAGAAGGGAGGGAGGGACUCUCAGCAGGGAUGCAGUCUGGGACACGUAGUUGCAAACCUAGCGACUUUGUUGUUAGAUUCAAUGACUUUUCAGACCCCCUAACGACUUUUUUUUAGAAAGAAAGGGACUUUUAUCGACUUCUUCUGGAGUUUAGAGACUCUGACAUGAAGCAGGCUUUCCUUACUGAGGAGUUAGCAACGCUGCUAAGGGUGCAGAGCCACACAUGCGCUCAGAGCUCUGCAUGGGAGACUGAAGCUGACAGAGCUGCAGCAGUUAGCAGGUUUCACCCUCAGAGACCACCAGGGGUUCAUGUUGAGGCAUUUUAAUUUUUUUUUUUUUUUUGUGCCAUAGACACUGUCAGCACAAUCUGCAGUUACACUAACAAAAAUGCUGCAAAAAACAAAGAAUUAUGGAAAAAUUACACAUGGACUGACAUAGAGGAGGAUCUACACAAGUUUUUUACAUCAUGUUUUACAUCAUGCAUCAUUUACAUCAUGUUUUUUUGUAGUGGCAUAAAUAAAAAGUGACAUUUGUGAGACUAUACAGUGUUUUGUAAAUAAUUUUACAAAGAACGCCUGGGCCAUUGCCUGCAUUUUGAUGUAAAUAGAGGUAAAUUACUAUGUUCUUUGUUAAAAAUUUGCAUAUGUUUUGAAGUUUACAAUUUUUAUUUGAAGUUUAAGUUUUAAAAACAGUUCAUCACACAUAUUUGUGGUUUAAUUUCACAUUAAUUUCCAUAUUGUAUAAAUGACUGGAAAAAACUUGAGCCCCUGCCCCUGUAUAAUCAUGUGCACGUCCCUGUUCUAGCUCCAAGGUGAAUCUUCACUGCUCAUGUUCUCCUCAGAAAUAGUCACCUCACUCCCCUCAGGUUACUGUACACAUGCACCAACUAUCUGCUUCAGGUUUGAAAUGGAGCUUCAUGGUUGUCUUUUGGAGAAAUGAACAGUCAAGUUGUGUUUGAAAUUUGAUUUUUUUUCAGGGGCAAAAGGAAGCCUCUGCAUUCUUGUCAAAUAUGUAAACAGCAUGUUUUUGCAGGUGCUAAAAAACAGACUCUGAGUGUGUGUGUGUGUCUGUGUGUGUGUGUGUGUGUGUGUGUGUGUGUGUGUGUGUGUGUGUGUGUGUGUGUGUGUGUGUAUGUUGGCGUGUGUGUAUAUGUGUGUGUAUCCUGCAGUACUCUGUACUCCUGCAGUGGCCAAAAAGACUUUUAAGAAUGUGGAUUUUUGGGUCAUCUUUGGCGCCCCCUAGAACUGCAGUACUCUGUACUCCUGCAGUGGCCAAAAUGACUUUUAAGAAUGUGGAUUUUUGGGUCAUCUUUGGCGCCCCCUAGAACGUAAACCGUGGGGUGCAGCGUCAUGAUUUUUACAACUUUGAAUGGGCAUGGGGUGUAGAUUGCCCUGAGCAAAUUUGGUAUCGGUGGGACGAAAGCCUUAGGAGGAGAUAGCCACAUUCCAAUGUGUGCGAAUCGGCAAAAAAUGCAAAAUAGCCCUUUAACCGUACAUUAUACAGAUACGCGCUCUUUGACUUUUUCGUAGAUCUAAUUGAGAUACACAUGAUUGUCAAUUUUUGUGUCAUUUUGACAAAGCGUUCAGGCGUGACACUCAACAAUGUGUAUUUUUAUGUAAGGGGACAAGAAAAAAAUUGACUUUUUUCUCCUACCAUGGGGGGGGCGCUCUUUUGGGGAGUAAAAAUUCCUUCACAAAUGUGUUGAUGGCUGGACAUUGCAUCAUCCUAGAAAACUUGGAGGCCAGUGAGGACAAAAAUAAAAAGUUAUAAAACAUUUAAGAAUGUGGAUUUUUGGGU